ACCUAGCCCUGAUCGCAGUGUAAAGCCUUGCGAAGGAGACUUGUAUUUUUUUCUGGGUAAAAAAGAGCGACCAGCGGAAGCUCCUUUUUUGUCCUAGAAAAAAACAAGACUACAAACAAGCUUGAAACGAAGAGCAGGACACGAG
rnacentral:sRNA from 1 species